rnacentral:rRNA from 1 species
GACGAACGCUGGCGGCGUGCCUAACACAUGCAAGUCGAGCGAAUGAAGUUCCUUCGGGAAUGGAUUUAGCGGCGGACGGGUGAGUAACACGUGGGCAACCUGCCUCAUAGAGGGGAAUAGCCUCCCGAAAGGGAGAUUAAUACCGCAUAAGAUUGUAGUACCGCAUGAUACAGCAAUUAAAGGAGCAAUCCGCUAUGAGAUGGGCCCGCGGCGCAUUAGCUAGUUGGUGAGGUAAUGGCUCACCAAGGCGACGAUGCGUAGCCGACCUGAGAGGGUGAUCGGCCACAGUGGGACUGAGACACGGCCCAGACUCCUACGGGAGGCAGCAGUGGGGAAUAUUGCACAAUGGGGGAAACCCUGAUGCAGCAACGCCGCGUGAGUGAUGACGGCCUUCGGGUUGUAAAGCUCUGUCUUCAGGGACGAUAAUGACGGUACCUGAGGAGGAAGCCACGGCUAACUACGUG